rnacentral:pre_miRNA from 1 species
GUGUGUGUUAGUGUUGAAAUGAUGUGAGUUAACAUGUAUGUGUUGCCAACACAUACAUGUUAACUCACAUCAUUUCAACACUAACACAC